GACAGAGGGGGCAAGCGUUGCUCGGAAUCACUGGGCGUAAAGCGCGCGCAGGCGGCCUCGCGCGCCCGACGUGAAAGCCCCCGGCUUAACCGGGGAGGGUCGUUGGGGACGGCGGGGCUUGAGGGCGGGAGAGGUCGGUGGAAUUCCCGGUGUAGUGGUGAAAUGCGUAGAGAUCGGGAGGAACACCUGUGGCGAAGGCGGCCGACUGGGCCGACCCUGACGCUGAGGCGCGAAGGCGUGGGGAGCGAACGGG
rnacentral:rRNA from 1 species